AUUUUCCUGAAAACCUCAGCUCCUGGGCCCCUUGCUGAUCUCAACUGGUGAAGAAGAAUGUGCCACCUCCGGAGCUCCUGGAGCUUGAGGAAACUGGGGCCUGGUCUCCCAGGGGAUUUCCAGGACUCUCACUGGAUGAGAAGCUCAGAGUCUGAUCAUGCAUGUCUGCAAGGCUGUGUUUACUUCAUGCUCAUCUAGAAAGUUUUGCUAGGAGGAGGCUGCUGUACUGCCAUUCCCUAUGGAAUUUGUUCUAUGUUAGUGCUGAAGUUUUUACCAUUUAUUAUAACUCUUUUUUAUAUAUCCUUGAAAGGAGAUGACCCUAUGCAAGAAGGGUAAAGAUGGCAGUUUUGUUUGUCUGUUUGAAUUUUGAAAGCCACAGUCCACCCCACUGGAAAUCUGGGAUGGUAAAAUAACCAUCUCUGUGCUCAAGCACUUUGAAUCCAAAACCAAAACCCAGGACUGAGAAAG